rfam:Nicotiana attenuata strain TT chromosome 7, whole genome shotgun sequence.
GAAAGCUAGGGGAGUGAAUGAGAUUAGAUACCCCAGUAGUCCUAGCCGUAAACGAUGGACUAGGCGCUGUGCGUAUCGACCCAUGCAGUGCUGUAGUUAAGGAAAUAAACC